GGUGAUAUAGCUCAGUUGGUAGAGUGCUUGCCUUACAAGCACAAGGCCCUGGGUUUGAAUCCCCCAGCACCACCA